rnacentral:rRNA from 1 species
CCUACGGGUGGCUGCAGUGAGGAAUAUUGGUCAAUGGCCGGAAGGCUGAACCAGCCAAGCCGCGUGAAGGACGAAGGUGCCAAGCAUUGUAAACCUCUUUUGUCAGGGAACAAAGGCGGGGACGUGUCCCCGGAUGAGUGUACCUGAAGAACAAGCAUCGGCUAACUCCGUGCCAGCAGCCGCGGUAAUACGGAGGAUGCGAGCGUUAUCCGGAUUUAUUGGGUUUAAGGGGUGCGCGGGCGGUCUGUUAAGUCAGCGGUCAAAGCCCGGGGCUCAACCCCGGCCCGCCGUUGAAACUGGCAGUCUCGAGUUGGAGAGAAGUAUGCGGAAUGCGCGGUGUAGCGGUGAAAUGCAUAGAUAUCGCGCAGAACUCCGAUUGCGAAGGCAGCAUGCCGGCUCCAAACUGACGCUGAGGCACGAAAGCGUGGGUAUCGAACAGGAUUAGAUACCCUUGUAGUC